AUUUUCACAUUAACUGCAUUAGCUUAUUCUGCAUAAUACUUUGACGAGGAACUUUAAACCAAAACACCGUUUGUUCACUCAAAGGAUACGGACACGCCGACUCUAUACCAAUACCAAUGCACCUGUACAUACCGCCAUCAUAUAGUGGGGGAACUACGUCGAUAAAAAAAAAUUGCGGGAUGUCUCUUCUCGAACCGACUGCGCGUUGCUGCUGUUCAGUCAGCGGCGGCAAUACCAUCGAUCAUGAUACUUGUUUUAGUGGUUAUAAUAAAAUGCAUGCGUAAGCGCUUUCAUGUACUUUCCAGCACUAAAGAGCGUCGUGUGCUUUUUGGGGCAAUGGGUUUAUGUCAAUAAAUAAUUUCUUUCGGAGAAAUCUUUAUUAGAAGACAACCAAACUCAACCAAGACCAAAUCUUAAUCAAGUUUGGUCUGAAAGACAUAUAUACGUAUUAUGUAUGAAAGACGUAUGCAUAUACGAAUUUAUACAACAUUUUAUAGAGCAAAUUUUAAGGAAAAACUUGCUUCAAUAUAUAUUAUAAAUACAUAUAAACUGGAUCACAAAUUUUUUGUCCAUAAUCCAAUAAAAUCUGCCAAUUACUUUGCCCGAACUUUCAGCGAAUGCUCCAGGGACUUCAUGGCAGCCUGAUGAAUUUUCUUGUCCAGUUUGUCUGCCAACGAAAAUAAAAUUAAUAAAUAUAAAAUAGUAAUUUAUUAAUAUAUUUAUAAUCCAACUAUUUUAACUAUUAUCCACUUGAGUUUGAAAGAUUUUAGCAGAGGUGCUUUUUCCUUUUCUGUCUUAGCAUGAAAAUUUUUCUUACAUAUUUUGUGUUUUCCUUGGAUCGGGAAUUUAAGCGGUAGUUCGUAACAAUCCUGGCAAAUUAAUACAAAAGGACUGUCACUUUCACCUUCUGGGUACACGCGACGAUACUCUUCUUGAGGUAAAACAUCGGUCACGGUUACGCAGCCGAGCAAGCAGGAUGUCGGAUAAUUGCUCGGAAAUUUGAGGUUCUCUACACAAAUGAAUAUUGAAAUGAAGAAAACGAAAUUAAAGAAAUAUCUUCGGUGGAAGGAAUUUUGGAAGCUGCAGCAAUCCAAAGUCGUCCACGAUGCGAAGAGUACCAUGUUCUUCCCUCGUGCCUGUCAAAAAAUUCAAUUGAAGUUGUUUAUAAAAACGAACAUAAAUUGAUUGAAUUUAUGACAAAAGUCAUAGAUUUACAGUGAAAUUUUAAAAAUAUGGAAAAAAUCAAUAAAACUUUGUUAAGAUUUC